CCUACGGGGGGCUGCAGUGGGGAAUAUUGGACAAUGGGCGAAAGCCUGAUCCAGCCAUGCCGCGUGUGUGAAGAAGGCCUUCGGGUUGUAAAGCACUUUCAGUGGGGAAGAAAGCCUUGGGGCUAAUACCCUCGAGGAAGGACAUCACCCACAGAAGAAGCACCGGCUAACUCCGUGCCAGCAGCCGCGGUAAUACGGAGGGUGCGAGCGUUAAUCGGAAUUACUGGGCGUAAAGCGCGCGUAGGCGGUCUGAUAAGCCGGGUGUGAAAGCCCCGGGCUCAACCUGGGAACGGCAUCCGGAACUGUCAGGCUAGAGUGCAGGAGAGGAAGGUAGAAUUCCCGGUGUAGCGGUGAAAUGCGUAGAGAGCGGGAGGAAUACCAGUGGCGAAGGCGGCCUUCUGGACUGACACUGACGCUGAGGUGCGAAAGCGUGGGUAGCAAACAGGAUUAGAUACCCCAGUAGUC
rnacentral:rRNA from 1 species